GACGAACCGUGCGAACGUUGUUCGGAAUCACUGGGCUUAAAGGGCGCGUAGGCGGGUGUGCAAGUCUGCGGUGAAAGCCUCCAGCUUAACUGGAGAAGUGCCGUGGAUACUGCAUAUCUUGAGGAGGGUAGGGGCAUCUGGAACAUUGGGUGGAGCGGUGAAAUGCGUUGAUAUCCAAUGGAACUCCGGUGGCGAAGGCGAGGUGCUGGACCCUUUCUGACGCUGAGGCGCGAAAGCCAGGGGAGCAAACGGG
rnacentral:rRNA from 1 species